GGGAAAUUACGUUCGUUUGACAAUUGCGUAAGCGUAGUUGCAAGGGCUAUGGCACUCAAAAAAACAUAAUCGACAAUUGUAAAAUGGGCUUUACAUGCUACCCUGAUUCCAAAAUCAUAUUUAUCUAUUGCCGCUGGAUACGCACCACGGCGGGCACGGGGCGGUACCAAAAAUUUGUAAUGCGGACGGACGACGCGUACGUGUACAUGCAAGCAUGCACGUACGUGACGCGAGAUGGUAAGACAACGAGGUAAAGAACAGCUGACGAGGCCUUCUACGAAAAGAGACCAUAGGCGAUUCAAAAAUUUGUCAAAAGGGACCAUUGGAAACUUCAAUGAGAGGAGAGUCAUGGCUCCCAUAGCCCCCUCCAUUCGCUAGUGAGAAGAGAGAAAAGGCUAGAGAAUAGAGAAGAAACGGAUUGCGAGUUUGUGGGGACCAGCAUCGCUCGUUGAUUCCCUCCAUCCUCUUCGUAGGAUAUCGAGUUCACCAUCUGAGAUGUCACAUGUGUGAAUGGAUAAUACAGCUGGAUCUCGUCCAAAUAUAAU